GGGUUUGCUCCGACUGUGCCACCUGUCACUCCAUCGAUCAUCAGGGCUGAUUCAACUGCGCUGGCUGGCUAUGCAGGUGUCCAGGAGCAGAUGACCUCCCUGAUAAAGGAGGUCACUCUUUGGUCAAGGCUAGACAAGUGACUGUGUUCCUCUGCUAAAGCCUCAACAUCAAGUUCUCAACAUCACCCCAAGGAUCUAUCUAUAAGCUUUUUCACCGUCAAUCCUGAU
rnacentral:snRNA from 1 species